CUUGUGCUAAUCAAGAUUUCACUUCAGCCGGGAGAAAAACCAGCCAAGAACUGCAUGUGAUGCCAUCGUAGUAGGAUAUGGAAACUAUUAACCAGGGUAUAAUCUUAUUAAAUUCAUAUGGGGAAAGGAAAGGGAGGUUCACAUCCCAGCAAGCAAAGGACCGGCCUAUGUUAUUCAAACUUAAGACAAGGUUCAAGUACAUCCUGACAAGCUAUUUCUGAAAAAUAUUUUUAUGUUCCCCCUGAUAUAUAGUGUCACAUAUCCAAGGCACAUAGCAUAUCUGGGACAGCUAAGGCCCAAGCAUCGCAAAUAAACGGCGAUUAGAGUGAAGUCACUUGCAGAAAUCACUCCCGAAGAUAAUGGAUAACAAACAAUAGGGAAAAAAUUCUAAAUCCAUAUACUUUCAACUUCAAGUUAAUUGCAAGCUUGCAAAGUGUAGGACUUUGAAAGCUGAACAACAUCAUCACCAAUCAAUACGGACCUAGUCAUCAGCGGGUUAAGGGUUAAGGGUCAAGGGAGGCUAAGAUGUAUACAGUAUUGCCCCAAACCAACAAAGGAAUCAAGGAUGACACUGAUAAGGUAGUUUCCAAGAGCUGGAUGUAAAUGAAAAGAAUAGAAUAGUUAUAUGCUGUACUUAAAUACUAAUGACAACCUCAUAUGCACGCCUCAUUUCUUUCUCUGAUU